rnacentral:rRNA from 1 species
GACGAACGCUGGCGGCGUGCUUAACACAUGCAAGUCGAACGGAAAGGCUCCAGCUUGCUGGAGUACUCGAGUGGCGAACGGGUGAGUAACACGUGGGUAAUCUGCCCUGCACUCUGGGAUAAGCCUGGGAAACUGGGUCUAAUACUGGAUAUGACCUUUCUCCUUAUGGGGUUUGGUGGAAAGUUUUUCGGUGUAGGAUGGGCCCGCGGCCUAUCAGCUUGUUGGUGGGGUGAUGGCCUACCAAGGCGACGACGGGUAGCCGGCCUGAGAGGGUGAUCGGCCACAUUGGGACUGAGAUACGGCCCAGACUCCUACGGGAGGCAGCAGUGGGGAAUAUUGCACAAUGGGCGGAAGCCUGAUGCAGCGACGCCGCGUGAGGGAUGACGGCCUUCGGGUUGUAAACCUCUUUCAGCAGGGACGAAGCGUAAGUGACGGUACCUGCAGAAGAAGCACCGGCUAACUACGUG